GGCCCGUUUCAUGCAGUAUAGAUAUGUUUGGUUGCCUGGCCCAGUUCGGGAGCCUGGCUGAGGCGAGCCCAAAACAAUUUUGUGGCCUGGCUGAAAGGAAACGCGAGCUUGUUGGUUCCCUGACCGGCCUGGCCCGACUUCAGUCGCCACAACGACGCUAGGGUUUCACUCGCAGCCGCCGACGCCAAAAGCCCGCUCUUCUGCCCCAAGCCGCGACGCCCCACGACGCCGCUGCGGUGCCACCAGAGCGGUGGCUUCUCCGACGCUGAACGCUCUUUCCAGGGCGACGAGAGCGGCCUGUCGUCGGCGUCCCCGCAGCCGCCGCUGUUCUACGGCUCACCGCCACGGCGAGCGUCAAACCCGGUGGUCCACGACAGUAGGUUCGGCGCGGACUGCCCGCCCGUGCCCGUGCCGGGGCUGUCCGUGCACCGGCCCAGCCCGCGGUCGUCGGCGGCGGCGCCGUCCAUGUCGCCGCGCGGGUGCACCCGCGCGCGGUUCGCGUUCUAGCCCGCGAAUAGUUAGGUGGUAUGUCCUAGUUCGUCAAUUAAUGAUGCUUUCUUUUUUGGUUUUUGAUGGGGAAUUGUUUUUUUCUUUGUUGUCCGUCCGUCCAUGCAACCAAGAAAUUUCAUGGAGAAUCUGUACAAAAGAGUGGCUAGCUACUACACGAGAGUCUGGUCUGAGAGAAGCAACACGAGGUCAGUCAGUGGAUGAACUUAGAGAGAGACAUUCACACGCUGAGAGGGUUGAUAAUUUGUGAUAUUUUCCUCCUUUUUUUCUUCUUCCUGAUUUUGUAUAUUGUAUAUCCUGCUGGAUUAACAAAUACUAGCAACCACUUAUAGUCAGUCAACAUAGGCCAUCUACUGCCAGUACCUCUUUUCUUCUCAUGAGUUGUAGCAGUUUCUGUUUAAUUCAUAUGAUUGUAAUUACAAUCAUAUUUUAAGUUACUACUAUAGUUUCUGUUUAAUUACAAUCAUAGUUUCUGUUUAAUUAAAAUUCAUAUGAUUGUAAUUACAAUCAUAGUUUC